CCUGUGCGCCCGCAGAAACCUCUCGGCGCAUUCGUUACGAGCCGCCUUUGUUCGGUCACACCUACACAGCAACCGAUCACAAAAAAAGUAAUAUAUAAAAAAAAAACAUCAAAAAACGGAAUCCCCCUGUUUACACAAAUACGGACUACCCCCUCCCCUCCCUUUCUCGGAGUGCCACCGCCACUGCCACCCACCCAUCCACAGGCACACAGACACACCGCUUUCGUUGCCGCCGGCGAGUGCAGCAUCACUAUUGUGCCGCCUUUCGUGUGGCUGCUGCUCGUAUUUUCUCUUUUCUUUGUACGGGCUGUCUCCUCUCAUUGCCGCGCCCGCCCGCCCGCCCCCCCCCCUCUAUUCUUACUUCGUCUCUUCUGCAAAUCGCUCUGCUGCUCAUCCCCCCCCCCACAUUUCUCACUUCGGCUGCUGACCCUCUCCCCUCCUCCCUCUUUCUCUCUGCUUUCUCCAGCUGCUCCGCUCUUUCUGCCUCUGUUGCAGCCCGCGCAUUACUCGCUGCGGCUACGGCGAGUGCUGCUACGGCCCCCUACUGUCUCUGCGUCUUUCUUGGUGCCCGCAUCGGUCGGGGCAUCUUGUUUGUCUGACGGGUAACUUCUGGCCAGUAUUUUCCUUCGUCCGCCUCUCUUUUUCCGUUGUGGCGGUGGCGUGUGCGUGUGGUCAGCCUUCUUCUGCCCUCACGCACGCACGCAGCAGACGCGUCCACGUGUACGCACACCGAGCGCAAGUGAGGGAGCGCAUCUGUGUGUUUUGUUUUCUUUGGUUUUCCAUGUCUUUGUUGCUGCUUGGGGCGUCUUUCCUUUAGGUCUGUAUCCGUGCCUGUUGAUCUGUGCUUGUAUCUGUCGGAGUGCAUCUGUGUGUGACGGCUGGUCUCUGUGUGCGCCUGUCUACGUGUGCUUCUUCUUUUCUGUUUUUCUCUUGCCUCGUCCACCUCUUCUCCCCCUCGUGUGUGCGUGUGUGUGUGUGUGCGCGCGCCACCGGCACGCGUGCGCGUGUGGAUAUCACAGCUCGCCGCCCACGUGUGUGUGGAUGUGUCCACUAAGUUUUUGUUUGUUUAUGCGCCCCCUCAGCGCGUAGCUCAUUUUCAUCCCCUCCCCCGCUCUCAGCAGCCCACGCGUCAUCGUGACUUGCGCCGUCAUGAUGAUCGAUGAUGCUGUCCACCAGCGGGUCGUUCGCCCCCGCCUGCCUCCUCUGAGGGUGCAGACGCGACGCUAUAUUGGCAUCGUUGCCUUCGUUGCAUGCCUGCUGCUCAUCUUCGUCGGCAUCUUCUCGCCGCUGAUUGUGCUGCGCAACAUGGACAAGAGCUACGAAGCGGAGAUGCGGUACAUCGAGUACACCCUCGCCAACAAAGCCGUGGCACCGUACAGGGUGGUCAUGGUCGAGGCCUUCGCCAUCAGUCAGGCCUUGGAGGGCUACGUGAUGAGUCGGAUGCUAGUUAUGCCGAACUUGUCCGCUCCGCCACUGGAGCGCAUCCAAGGCCAAAACUUCACCAACUUCGACGACAUUGGCGCAACACUCCGGCGCAACACGACCAUGAUCGCCAUGACUGCCUUACAGCCCGGCGGCGUGUACGCCUUUUUCUCUCCGCGUAAUGCCACCAAGUACGGACGCGACACCCUCGACCCUAACGACAACGCGCAGAACUUCAAGCCGACGCCUUUUGAGACCAUCCUCAGCGGCCGCGCCGUCUACGUAGGUCCCUUCCGCUCCACCUCCGACGUUCUGCGGGGUCACUGGGGGCUCGCUAUUCGACGGCCCAUCUACAACCGCACAAGCUACGAGUCGGCCGAUAUCCGCACCUUCUGGGGAUUUGCGUUCACCCUGGUCAACAUAAGCGGCCUUAUCGACAAAAACCCGUUCGCCUUCACCAGCCUCUCAAAGAAACGGCAUGUCGACUACCUUCUCAGCGUGCAUAAUGAGACCUCCGGCGUUAUCACCGUCCUUGCGACCUCUCUCAAACAGCCGACGGCGACGCAGCUCGCAGAGUUUGUCCGGCUCGGCACCAGCGUCGGUAUCACCCCAAAUCACCCGUUCCUCCUCACCAUCCGCGGCCGCGACUACGGCUCGAACCUCUCGCCUGCCAACAUCAUCAUCGUCGUGUCCACCGUACUAUCUGGGCUUCUAGCCAUCUUUGCCGCUGUCAUCGCAGCCGUGUUGUGGUGCACGGCCACCUACGACGCCGCAGCGCACGCGCCCAAGAUGGCACCCUUCGCCAUGCUCACCAUCGGCCCCUGCCGCGGCGAGGAGCUCUGGGAUCUUGCCACGGAUCAGAUGGCCGAGGUGACGGAGAAGCUCGAUCAGGUACUGGUGCGGCAAAUGGAGCGGCACCGCGCCUACCAGAUCCAGCAGGUGCACCCGCUCACCACAUCGUACGUCACGCGCAGCGUCGCCGCCGCUGUGCAGAUGGCCUUCAGCACCAUCGAGGAGCUGCAGCGCCACCCCAUCGACGGCCCGCUGCGCGCCGUGCUCGGUGAUGAGGUCCGCCUGCUGCUGUGCUACGCCGUGCACUGGUGCACCGACGCCGCCGUGCGCGUGGAAUCGCUGGAAGGCACGUACCGCUACGAGGGCUGCGACGUUGUCUUUGGUGGCCGCAUGUGGGCCUUUGCCGCGCCCAGCGUCGUCACGGCGUCCGAGGCGGUGGUGCAGACACUGCCGUGCUUCGGCCUGCGCAGCAUCGACACACGCCCACGCUGCGUUGUCAACGUGGUGCGCUCACGGACCCUCUGCGGUGCCACCGGCGGCAAAGAGCUGGGCGGCAAGAGCGCCACUAUCUACGUGCCGCACUCGCCGCCCACCACCGUGCAGGCGACCGCCGGUGUGCGGCGCGGCAGAGCCGUCUCCUCGACGGCGGCGCCCCUGGAAAGUAGCAGCGACACCGAAGACACACAGUCACUGCCACCGCAGCAGCUCUUCACGCUGCUCGACACGCGCCGCCCCGCACUGAUGGCCGCCGAGGCUGCAGCGACGCACGACGCCGACUCUGUCUCCUCUGCAUCUUGCCCUACCGACUCUGCGGCGAUCCCCGCCAUGGACUUGCCUGCCGGUGAGCGUGCCGUGCUGCCAGUGUCGCCCUCGUCUGCCGCUGAUGGCAGCUCUGCCAAUAACGCUGAGAUGGCCACUGCCGCACACACGAGUGCAAGGUCCGACGCGCCAACCGAGAACGAAGGCAACGAAUUACUCUCCGCGUCAUCGCCGUCGGUGGCGCCGCCGCUGUCGCACGCGUCCAGCUCCUUCGACAUUGGCGUCUCCAACGGCGCCACCACGGCAGUGCAGCUGAGCUCCCUCGCCUUUCAGGGGGACGCCGUCACACGCGCGCUGCUGCAGCCGCUGAUCCCACGCGCGCUCGACGUUGCCCUGCGCGUCGCCUUUGACUACCAGUCCAUCACCCUCGAUGUGCGCUACGCCGAGGUGCGGGUGCUGGUCUACUACUUCUACUCCAGCUACAAGAUCCUGUUCCGCCCGCUGGCCGCGCCGGAGCGCCACAACAUCUUCCGCCGCCUGGUGACAGCCUUUGGUGUGCCGCAGCAGGGCAUCCUCGAGCACCUGGCCGCGCGCUGCGUCAUUCGUCAUGUGCAGCAGCGGUUGAAAUCACUUCAGUUCGCACCGCAACAUCCUCACCUUCGUGCCGCCCCCCGUGAAACACCGCUAACGCUGAACGCCUACGCGAAGCUCGGAAGGGCAACCCGUUAGGCCGCUAGAGGCAGCAAGACGUGAGGAGGGCCAGUAUGUGGGGCAUUCGCUUCCUAGGAACCUUCGCCUUUCCACCGGGGUGUCUUGCUGGUUUCACGAGGCUUCUCUCCGAUGUGAAGAACUGUCACUGAGUAGCAAUGGAUGGGUCUUGGGUGGGGUUCGUGCUUGGAUGUCUGUGUGUUGGUAAAGCAGAUGUGCAGCGACAUGCACUGUGCGUGAAAGCCUGUUCAGCGCCUCUCCCACCCCCUCCCCUUACUUUCCUGCGAUGCUUGUGUACGUAUGAUGGGGUGCAUACGGUGUGGUGAAGGUGUGUGUAUAUAUAUAUAUAUAUAUUUAUAUGAGGGCGUCGGUACACGUUUCAUUUUGUUUGCUUGACACGAAUUGUCUCGAGUGAUGUCCUAUGUCAUCUUCCUGUAUAUAUAUAUAUAUAUGUGUGUGUGUGUGUGCGUGUGUGCGUGCCGAGUCUACAUCGGCGUGGUUUUCGUUUUCUUAUAGUUGGUUUAGAGCGUGGCUGGUGACUCGCUGUAUGUGUGCGUGUCUGUGUACAUGUAUAUAUAGGUGCGUGUGUGUGUGCGCGCGCGCUGACUGAUGUCCGCACAGACAGAUUACAGGCGCUUGUGUGUGCACGCAGAAGAACCACAAACGUGCCUCCCUUGUCAUCAUCGCCUUCUCUCUCGCUUUCCAACUCGCUUUCCAAAACGCAUGCACAUAAAUGUGUAUUCGCUUGGCGUUCCCGUUUCCUUUCGUGCCUCUCGUUGAUCGCUGCGUCUUCUCUGCUCUGUGUGUGUGUGUAUGUUCGGUGGCUGUGGUUUGAUGAUCCCAUUGCUGUCUGCGUGUACGCGAAUGAAAUCCGAGCUCCUCCUGCCAGACGUCGAUGAGGGAUGGAACUAGGUGCGACGUGGCAGCGACGCUCGGGAGAGGGAAUGGCAGUGCUCGCGUUGCUGUGGGAAAACGAGGCGGUUGGCUCGUCAGUAUAUGGAUAUGUGUGUGUUCGAUUGGUCCUCAGCAACGUCAUGGCUAAAAAUCGUGCGAUUGUCCUCUGCCCUCCCUCUCCCUCCCGCAGCCUAAGCCCCUUUCACUCUCUCUCGGCUUCCACUGGCUGGACUGCGCAUGGAAAUCUCCUUGAGACAUCGCCUCUGCCGUCAGCACUUGCAAUCUCCGUUGCUCCACUCCUCUUCCCCUUCUUUCCGUAAAAUGCAUGAUUAUGUGAGCCUUCGCCGCUUACCUCCGUAUGGGCUAUGGUUGGGGUCUGUGCUUGUGGGAAAGCAUAUCCGGCAGCCUUCAGAAGGCAUGACGGGUUGUGAUGGCGCAGAUGGCGCGCGCCAGCAUCAUGAGUACGACGCUCGUCAUCAUAAUGGAUGAUAUCAGCAAGAC
rnacentral:misc_RNA from 1 species